ACGCGGGCCAGGCCGGCCUGCGCGAUGUAGGCGGCCAGCAGCCCGUUGGCGGCCUCAUCCUUGGGCAUGCCCAGCGUGCCGCCCCGGCCCUGGCAGGCCAGCUGUGCAUCCACGUACCGCUUCUCCUCCUUCACCAGCAGGAGCUUGGAAAUGACUCAAGGAUCAGCUCGACAAGGACCCAGGACGGCAGAGUCUCAGAGAUGGAGCAGAUCAGGAGGGAUUCAUCGCGCAGAUGGGGUUCACAGGGGUUAAGCUCUUGCCCGGGUCAAGUACCUGGUCCCGCCACGAGGUGACUCCUGCCCCAGACACCGUGUAUGGAGAUGCCCAGGGCUCCAAGGAGGCAUCCGGGAGCUGGGGAGAAGAGAGCCACCAGCCAGGACCACGUCACCAUGCCUCUGGUCACAUGUGGACGAGGCCUGGACAGGGACGAGGCAGGCACCGCAGGAGGCGGCCCAGGGGAGUGGUGUCGGGAGGGUAGGGAGAAAUUCCCAGACUGAGAAAUGUCUGGGAGGCAGAGACUUAGUAAAUACUCACUCUGAGGAUAUGGUGAGGGCUUCACUUUAUUGCUGGAAGAGGAACAAGCUACUCAGCUCUUGGGCCAGACAGGGCCACAGCGGCCUCGACAGCCACGCCCCUGGGGCUCUAAGUGAACCCCCCAGCACAGCCGUCCUGAGGCAGCUCCAGCCACAGAAAAGUGUUCCUUUGUUGACUUGCAGGAGCUCGAAAGGUGCCACCUGCUCCUUCCACCCAGCAGUCCUGGUUUUGCAGCCAGAGAGAUGCACGGCUAGUCUAAUCCGCCGUCCACAGACAGUCCUUCAAACAUCUCAACUGUUUUCUCCCUGAAAUCUUCCCCUCAGCUUCCCCACCCUGUCUGUGCUCCCAUACAGGAGCACCAGCCCCCAAGCAGGCCUGACCACUGUCCCCUCCUGCUGGGGACUGAAGUGCCCCCCAGAUUCAUAUGCUGAAGCCUGACCCCCAUGUGAUGCAUCUGGAGGGGGUCAGGGUCAGAGGAGGUCACGGGGUGGGAUGCGUCCCCUGAUGAGAGGAUGAACAGCCUGGAAUCCUCUCUCUCCACCAUCUGUGGACACGGCCAGAAGUCGGCCGUCUGCAGGCCAGGGAGCGGAUCCUCCCCAGACCCCAACCAUGCAGACAGCCUGCUCUGGGACCCCUGCCUCCAGAACCGUGCGAGAUCAGGGUCAGGGGGUUAAGCCCCUGUGUCUGUGGUGUUUGGCUGGCCCCCGAGCCACUUGUCUGGACACCCUGGUCCCUUGUCUGGACCCUCUAGUCCAUUAGUGUGGUCUGAGCUCAAAGAUGACCACAGACACCCUGCUCAGCCUCCUGCAAAGUGUUCCAGAGCAAAGCCCCUGUGGAGUGCGCACUCAGCUACUGCCGUUGUUCCAGGGCCUCGGCCGCCACCCUCCUUCCGGACACCUUUUCUUCAAAAGGCCAACGUUCCCUUCCCUAUAACUCUCCGUUGUGCCCCUCCUGAGGUCCUGGGGUCAACGUGAGC